GAGUGCCGUCCGUUGAGGANGGCUUUUCCUUGGUGUAACUAGCCGGGGAAUAAGGAGAGGGCAAGACUGGUGUCAGCCGCCGCGGUAAUACCAGCUCUCCGAGUGGUGGGGANGAUUAUUGGGCUUAAAGCGUCCGUAGCCGGCUUAGCAAGUCUCCGGUUAAAUCCAACGACCUAAUCGUUGGGCUGCGGGAGAUACUGUUGGGCUAGGAGGCGGGAGAAGCCGACGGUAUUNNCGGGGUAGGGGUGAAAUCCUGUAAUCCCGGGNGGACCACCAGUGGCGAAGGCNGUCGGCUAGAACGCGCUCGACGGUGAGGGACGAAAGCUGGGGGAGCGAACCGGAUUAGAUACCCGGGUAGUCCCAGCUGUAAACGAUGCGGGCUAGGUGUUGGGGUGGCUACGAGCCACUUCAGUGCCGCAGGGAAGCCAUUAAGCCCGCCGCCUGGGGAGUACGGCCGCAAGGCUGAAACUUAAAGGAAU
rnacentral:rRNA from 1 species